UCUUUGUAAUGCAUCAGUGGAUCUUGCUCACUCUUCACUGUGUACUCAGUAGAAUAGAAGGGAAAGGAAGAAACCUCUGGCUGAGACA
rnacentral:snoRNA from 1 species